AGUGAACGCUGGCGGUAGGCCUAACACAUGCAAGUCGAACGGCAGCACAGUAAGAGCUUGCUCUUACGGGUGGCGAGUGGCGGACGGGUGAGGAAUACAUCGGAAUCUACUUUUUCGUGGGGGAUAACGUAGGGAAACUUACGCUAAUACCGCAUACGACCUACGGGUGAAAGCAGGGGAUCUUCGGACCUUGCGCGAUUGAAUGAGCCGAUGUCGGAUUAGCUAGUUGGCGGGGUAAAGGCCCACAAAGGCGACGCACCGUAGCUGGUCUGAGAGGAUGAUCAGCCACACUGGAACUGAGACACGGUCCAGACUCCUACGGGAGGCAGCAGUGGGGAAUAUUGGACAAUGGGCGCAAGCCUGAUCCAGCCAUACCGCGUGGGUGAAGAAGGCCUUCGGGUUUUAAAGCCCUUUUGUUGGGAAAGAAAAGCAGCAGGUUAAUACCCCGCUGUUCUGACGGUACCCAAAGAAUAAGCACCGGCUAACUUCGUG
rnacentral:rRNA from 1 species